rnacentral:rRNA from 1 species
GAUAAACGCUGGCGGCGUGCCUAACACAUGCAAGUCGAACGCCCUACGCAAGUAGGGAGUGGCGGACGGGUGAGGAACACGUGGGUUAUCUGCCUUGAGGUGAGGAAUACCGGCGAGAAAUCGCCGACAAUACCGCAUACGUUCGUAAGAACAAAGUCGCAAGACGCCCCCAAGAUGAGCCUGCGUCCGAUUAGCUAGUUGAUGGGGUAAAAGCCUACCAAGGCAGCGAUCGGAGCUGGUCUGAGAGGACGAUCAGCCACACUGGGAUUGAGAACGGCCCAGACUCCUACGGGGGGCAGCAGUGAGGAAUUUUCGUCAAUGGCCGAAAGGCUGAACGAGCAACGCCGCGUGCAGGAAGAAGGUCUUCGGAUCGUAAACUGCUUUUCUGGGGGAAGAGACCGGACGGUACCCCAGGAAGAAGCCCCGGCUAACUACGUGCCAGCAGCAGCCGCAGUAAG